rnacentral:snRNA from 1 species
GUCCCUUCGGGGACAUCUGAUAAAAUUGGAAAGAUACAGAGAAGAUUAGCAUGGCCCUUGCGCAAGGAUGACACACACAAAUCGAGAAAUGGUCCAAUUUUUU